rnacentral:lncRNA from 1 species
UAGAGACUGGGUCUUGCUAUACUGCUUAGGCUGGUCUCAAACUUCUGGCCUCAAGCGAUCCUCCUGCUGGGAUUACAGGUGUGAACCACCACACUUGACCCCAAAUUUUGUUAUUUUUUAGAGACAGUGUCUCACUGUAACCCAGGCUGGAGGGCAGUGGCUCAAUCAUAGCUCUCUGCAGCCUUAAACUCCUGGACUCAAGCAGUCCUCCCACCUCAAGCCUCCUGAGUAGCUGGCACUAUUGGCAUGUGCCACCACGCGCACCUAAUAAUUUAAAAAAUUUUUUUGUAGAGAUGAUGGAGUCUUGUUUCUCUGACUUAUAGAUCUUUUCUCACCUUGUCACAGAGUUUUAAACAAACCCUGUCUCAGAACUGUCUCUGGAAAAAUGUUUAGGGACUGUCCCAUGAGUGAAUUAUGGACUAAGAUUAGUAGAUUUGAAGUCUAAACACCAGAAGCCUCCAAAUAAUGGAAUUUGUUUAAAAAUAAAUAUUAAAAAAUAACCUGAAAAGAAAUCACACCCCCCUUCCCUCCCCUGGCCCCAUUUCUUAAUCUGCAAUAGAAAAAGAAGGUCAGAAAAUGCACCUAGAAUAUUCUGGAGCAGAAUCAAUUUUUUUGUUUUUAAAACCACUGUGUGAAUAUGAACAAACUAUUCUGGGUAAAUUCUCUUCCUCCAUUAAACUUGGGACCCCAGAUUGGCUGCUCUCCUUUUGGGUGGGUGGAUGGUGGGAAUGCAUGACUAAGAGCUGUUGCUCAUAUUAGAAAUACAUGGAACAGACUGGUGGUCAAGAGGCAGGUUUUGGGCUGGGUGCAGUGACUUGUGCCUGUAAUCUCAACACUGUAGGAGGCUGAGGUGGGAAGAGUCCUUGAAUCCAGGAGUUGGAGACCAGCUUGGGCAAUAUGAUGAGACCCUGUCUCUAUAAAGAAUACAAAAAUAGGCUAGGCAUGGAAGUGUGCACCUGUAGUCCUACCUACUUGGGGUGGCUGAGGUGGUAGGGUCGUUUGAGCCCAGGGGUUCAAGGUUUGUGUGAGCCAUGAUUGAGUCACCACACUGCAGCCUGGGUGACAAAGCAAGAUCCUUUCUCUAAAAAAAGAAGAGGCGAAUUUUGGAUGAUCUUGCCUGCGUCUGAGUACUGACUCCUCCACUCACUGAAAGUCACUUUGGCCAAGUGACUUCGUGUUUUUGUGUCUCUGCUCCCACACCAGUAAAAUGGGAAUAAUAAUAAGAUAUCUUGAUGGACUGUUGUGAUAAAUGAGAAAAUCAGUGUAAAGUGCUUGGAGAUGUGCCUAGUGCAGAGUGGGCACUUGCUGAAUGUUAAUUAUUUGUAUAACUUGCUGGUGUGGGAAGCCUGACUCUUCUCCGGCUGGAAUCCCACAGGCCUGCACAACAGUAAAUGGCCCCGCUGCUAACCCCCAAGAUCUAUAGUGAAUACACAGGGAGGAUGGUUAAUGACUGAAGGGCUCUGGAAAGGGGAUAAGAGGCCGGCUUCCUUCCCCAGAUCGCACUCCAACACCCAGAGGACUGCUAUUUCUCAGGUGGCAGCUAUGAGGAAAGAAAGAAAAUGGUGCCCUGAGUCCCUAAGACCCUGGAAGGUGGCUUGGUCCCCGGGAGGCCUUGGGAGCUGAUUUGCCAGUGAGAAUUUGAAGUCCUGGUGUCCAAGUUAAACUCACCCCUGGGAAGAAAAAAACUGUUCAAUCAGCUGGACAUAAUACUCAUCACACUAGAUUUAAGACACACUGAAGAAUUAAGAUAAAACAUGAAUGGGGCACAGUGGCUCAAGCCUGCACUUUGAGAGGCUGAGGCAGGCUGAUCACUUGAGCCCAGGAGGUUGAAGCUGC